rnacentral:rRNA from 1 species
CCUACGGGGUGCAGCAGUGAGGAAUAUUGGUCAAUGGCCGAGAGGCUGAACCAGCCAAGUCGCGUGAGGGAAGACGGCCCUACGGGUUGUAAACCUCUUUUGUCGGGGAGCAAAGCGAGUCACGUGUGACUCAUUGAGAGUACCCGAAGAAAAAGCAUCGGCUAACUCCGUGCCAGCAGCCGCGGUAAUACGGAGGAUGCGAGCGUUAUCCGGAUUUAUUGGGUUUAAAGGGUGCGCAGGCGGAGGUGCAAGUCAGCGGUCAAAUUGCGGGGCUCAACCCCGUACUGCCGUUGAAACUGCAGCCCUUGAGUGCGCGAGAAGUAUGCGGAAUGCGUGGUGUAGCGGUGAAAUGCAUAGAUAGCACGCAGAACUCCGAUUGCGAAGGCAGCAUACCGGCGCGCAACUGACGCUCAUGCACGAAAGCGUGGGUAUCGAACAGGAUUAGAUACCCGAGUAGUC